UACGUAGGGGGCAAGCGUUGUCCGGAUUUACUGGGCGUAAAGGGCGCGUAGGCGGCGUGGUAAGUCACUUGUGAAAUCUCUGAGCUUAACUCAGAACGGCCAAGUGAUACUGCUGUGCUAGAGUGCAGAAGGGGCAAUCGGAAUUCUUGGUGUAGCGGUGAAAUGCGUAGAUAUCAAGAGGAACACCUGAGGUGAAGACGGGUUGCUGGGCUGACACUGACGCUGAGGCGCGAAAGCCAGGGGAGCAAACGGG
rnacentral:rRNA from 1 species